UCUUCAAAUGUUUCCACACAUCAGUGAGCAGCAGCACCGCAAUCCUUACUCGAUGACACGCUCUGUGGGCCUGGAAAAUGCCUUGACGUUCGAGCACUUCGGGAGCUGUACCGGCGGACAGCCGGACGCGGGUAGCUUGGCCGUUCCUUGCUCUGCGCAUCGCUUGAAAACCGGCGGUCAUCCUGCAGUGUACGCUGCCAGCGUGCUUUCUUGCCAGAGCCGCCUCCCCUGCUGGUGAUGACCAUAUGCAGCCAAUGCUGAUGUGAACCCGAGUGAUGAACAAAUGCAGAUCUGCAAAGGAGCUGUCCUGAGGCACCAUGCUUACUCAAGUCAUGCAGCGAGAGUCAGCAUGCCUGGAAAAGUACUUCAAAA
rnacentral:lncRNA from 1 species